CCGGGAACGAGCGCAACCCACAUCCUUAGUUGCCAGCAGUUCGGCUGGGCACUCUAGGGAAACUGCCCGUGAUAAGCGGGAGGAAGGUGUGGAUGACGUCAAGUCCUCAUGGCCCUUACGGGCGGGGUACCCACGUGGUACAAUGGCAGGGACAGGGGGUUAAUCCCAAAAAGCAAUCUCACUUUGGUCCGGGGUAUGCA
rnacentral:rRNA from 1 species